UACGGAGGGGGCAAGCGUUGUUCGGAAUUACUGGGCGUAAAGGGCGCGCAGGCGGCUGCUCAAGUCAGGCGUGAAAGGCCUGGGCUCAACCCGGGAAUUGCGCUUGAGACUGGGCUGGCUUGAGUGCGGGAGAGGAUGGUGGAAUUCCCAGUGUAGAGGUGAAAUUCGUAGAUAUUGGGAAGAAACACCGGUGGCGAAGGCGGCCAUCUGGACCGCAACUGACGCUGAGGCGCGAAAGCGUGGGGAGCAAACAGG
rnacentral:rRNA from 1 species